UUCUUUACUUCAAGAUGUUUCAAAAUGCAAGUUCAGUUUGAGUGUUGCUUUUUGAUUGUCAACACUUUGCUUCUAUGUCUAAAGCUUGCAUGGUCCUAUAAUGUGAACCAUUUAGUUCUUCUUUAAUGUGUGAUAGUCCUUUAUUUCAUGAUCAUUCUGAUGCUCUCUAUCGCAGCCUCCUGUGCAUCCAGUUGAUGAGUAUGGUGCACUCAUCUAUGCUGGACGAUGGGGCGUCCAUGGGAUUUCUCUUCCAGGGAGGGUUACUUUUGCUCCAGGAAAUGUGGGGUUUUCAACCUUUGGUGCACCCCGCCCUCUCGAGACACAAAUCAUUAGCGAUGAGACUUGGAAACUAAUAGAUGGCAUAUGGGAUAAAAGGAUCCAGGAAAUUAAGAAUGAAGUUUCUAUAGAGAUUGAGGAAGAUAUGGAGAAACCACAGCUUUUGAUGGCAGAUCACUUCCUUUGAAAAUUUCAGUAUUUACAUUUUUGGGGUGGGAUACAGCUUGAUUUGGAUGGUGGAUGAUGCCCCAAAAAAUACAAAAGAAGAUUUGGUUGGUGAAUAUACAUUUCUUUCCAUCCAGAAAGGCU